UGAAAAUCGAGCUUGCUUCAGUAUGUCAAUUAUAGAGAUCUAUGGUAUAAUUCUCAGUGCAUGUAUCAUGUAUUCUUCUCCAAACUGGAGGAUAUAUAUAUAUAUUUACUAUAUACUAAGCGUCCUACACUGUUCUUAAGCACUGUUCAUCACUGUUCAUAAGCACUGUUCAUCACUGUUCACAUCGAAAUGACGGUUUUGCCCUCAUUCUAAAUUGUUUUACGGCUCUGCCAUCGUUCUGCCAGACGCUACCGUCGGUUUCUUCUUUCUUCUACAGCAGUAUAACCGUAUAACCACGAUUGCUCUCUCAAUUUGGAUCUCCGCCGUGAAUCCGACUCUCAGCUCUCCCAUAUCAAUAUCGUCGACGAACAGAAAGUGAUAGAGAUAGAUUGAGAGAGAGAGAGAGAGACGGAGGUUUUCUGUGUCUUUUGGGUCUUCUCACUCUUCUGCGAGAGAGAGAGAGAGAGGAAGUGAAGGCUAAUUCCAGGGAGAGGAAGAACAGGAAAUAGGAAGAGAAAGAAGAAUUUGAUACACCAAGUUCAUGCUGGGAAUAUGUGAGAAUUGAAUUUCAGAAUUUGCUUUUUUUUUUUUCUCUGUUUGAUGAAAGCUCUGUGGGUUUUGAAGAAGAAAGAAGAACAAGAAUAUAGGAGCUUGAAAUUCUUCACUGAUUGUUGAAGAAGGUAGAUAACUCAGAGAAAAGGAAGAGGGGGACGGGAACAAUCGGUUUUUUUUUUUUUUUUUUCAGAAUCACAGCUCUCUCUGUUUGUGGCUAUUUGUAUUUUUUUUUUCGUCGAGUUUUUGGGGUUGCUGUGUUUGCAUGGUUUUUGGGAUCAUUGAUUUUCUGAUCUAAAUGUCUGUGUUCUAGGUGUUGGUGGCUGUGAUCUUAAUUUCAGAGCCAAUUUGGACUCUAGAGCUUGGAAUAUCAUCUGGGUUUUAUCUGUUUUGAGUGUUUGAGUGUUUAAUUUUGAGAUGGGGUGUAAUGAUCUUCACAGUCUCUGCAAGCCAGAUCACUGGGACAGUUAGCAAUGAAUUUCUUGACUUCUCUGUUGUGUGCAAUGUUGGGAGCAUAUUUUCAUUAUUUGUUGACUGAUUUUGUUCCUCCCAUGUUUUUUUUUUUUUUUUUUUUUUUUUAUAUUAUCAUUCUGUUCAAUCUUCUUUUUCUUUAGAACAUACUCAACAUACUAAACAAAUACCCAAGCUAACAGAUGAUGCGCCCUGCUCUUGGGGUCUUCUUAUGUUUCCUGUGAUAUCAAUAAUUCAGAUGCUAAAGUGUUUAAUCCCAGAUACUUAAAGACCCAAAAAAGAAUUGAUGAUACUUCUAAUGUGUACAGAACAUUUACAUUACUUUGUAGUCAACUUUGGCCUUCACUUAUUAACAUCUAAAUUUGUUUUGUUGAUGCAGCUUUGGCAUCAUCUGUAUUUGAAGUUUGAUCAUGUGUAGCUCAUAAUUGUUGUAUCGAAUCGUAUAUCCCAGUUUCAACUGUACCAAUGAUAGCACAGUGAAACAAAUGUUCAAUUGAUAGGUCAUGCAUCGAUCUUGGGGCAAUCGAUGUGGAAAAUAUUCUGUGUUUCUUCCUACUACUAAAAUAUGCUUUUGGAUACAUGUUCAGGUGCAUCAAUACGUGAUGGAAGAGAAAUCCUUUUAAAGGAAGCUUGCUGAUCAGUAUACUGUCAUUGCAGAUUUGUAGGAGACUAUUUUGAGCUACAAAUUAAGUGCAAUCACAACAGUGAAGUGGUCUGCUCAUUAUUUUCUUUUAGUAGUAAUGAAAGUAUGAUAUGUAAGUAUAAAUAUUGACGUGAUACAAUGAAAUUCAAAAGACUCAACUAUAACAUACAAAUUUGAGACAAAAGAAAACCCGCAGCAUCGCGCGGGAGAAUAAUCUAGUAUUUACUAUAUACCAAAGAUGAGUUAACUGUUCACGGUUCAUGAACAGUAAAUUUACGGUUAUGCCCUCUUUUUCCUGUUGACUGCUGUUUAUAAGACAGUGAAGUGACGGUUUUUGCCCUCCUUUGAUAUUAUUAUUAUUUGUUAUUUUUUCGGCUGUGUAUCGAUGAGUUCACUGUUCACGACGGUACUGUUCACGAACAGUAAAUUUACGGUUAUGCCCUCUUUUCCUGUUGACUGUUCGCUCGGUUACUGUUCAUAGGACAGUGAAGUCGGCUGUUGCUGUAUCGAUUUUAUCUUCUUCUCUACUCACCAAUCCUCAAAAGAACAACAACCCGAAAACAAAGACAAACAGGAAGAGAGACGUGAAGGAUUGACGACGAAAACGAGCCUGGGUUUUAACCUUUCAACGAUUCCAAGGUCCAUCUUUUUUGGAGAUUCUGAAGGAAAAGGAUUUGGUUAAAAAGAAAUAAACCAGAUUCUGGAAACAGUGUGUUAUUCAAUUUCCCAACUGCAUUGGAUUCAGUGAUGGCAGCAAAACCUGAAGAAACAGAACUAAGGAGACAUUUACGUCAUCAGAAUGGAGAAGGCCAAGCUUUUGGUCCUAUUUCUGAUAUGGAGAAAGAUCGACAAAUUAGAUCAAGAAGGUGGAGACAACGUGAGCAUUUAUUAUCACCUUUACGAUGUUGGUCUAAAUGACUGAUUUUGGUUCUAUGCAAACGAUUAUUUGUAUUGUUCAGUUGCUGCUUUUCUUGGUCUGUAUUGAGAUUGGUCAUUGUCUAGAUAUCAGUAAACAGUGUGCAAUCGGAAUUUGAAAGUGCUUUGAACUUGGAUCAUAAAGGAUGGUGGAUGUGGCUGCUGCUGGUGCGGGGAACGCAAGUAAGGAUCCAAAUUUGAUCCCACCACCUCCUCCAACCAUUCCACCCAAUGUGAAGCCAGGAGUCCUGACUUCUCCCAAGUAUUCUAUUACGAGUAGGAAACAAUUGCUUGCAAACCACUUCAAACUCACUGUGAAAGCUCCAGAUUCUGUAUUCUACCAAUAUUCUGUUCAUAUUACUUCUGAAAACAAGAAGGCCGCUCAAAGCAAGGGAAUUGGCAGAAAACUGGUUGACAGGCUCUAUCAAACAUAUUCUUCUAAACUUGCUGAUAACAAGUUUGUGUAUGAUAAAGAGAAAGUUCUAUAUACAGUUGGUCCUCUGCCACAGAACAAGCUUGACUUUACAGUUCCCCUGGAGGAGACAUUUGCAAAGAGAGUGAAAAAGUGGAGCCUAACAAUACGUACUUAAAGAAAAAUGUAAGCCAUGCAUUACCAGUAUAAUGGACUUCAAUUUUGUUCAAGCACCUGGAUGCCAUCAACAACCAUACUCAACUUUACAAUGUCACAAAAGAACUUCAGCCCGUCUUUUCCAACAAACCGCAUUACAACUCACUGUAUGCUACUGCAGACAUUCGAGAGGCAAAACCAAAAAUUCCAAAAAGAAAAUCAGAAAGCUUAUUCGGCUGAUUUCAUUCUGAUACUCAAUCUAACUUCUUGGCAGAAGCAGAUAUUCCGGAAGGAAUUCAAGAAGUUUACAAGGAAGUUCAGUUGGCAGUGCUGUUUGUAUGCGCUUGACGAGGUGGUAGUGUUUGUGAAAGAACCUCAUCUUAAACUGGAACAGAUUUUCAGUUAAAUGUGACUUCAGCUUAUCAGAAGGCUGUGUGCGCAUCAGUGUUUUGCUGAAUUGCAGAGUAUUAUUCCUUCAUGGUCAAAGCUUAUGCUCGGUGGCUCAGCCAGCCCCUCCAAUUAUUUGAAUUUGCUAUUAGUUGUCUAUAUCUGUAUGAAUAUUAAGUACAUAAAUUUGGUAAGUGGACCUGAACUAUGGACCACUAUGAAUUUCAGUACAUAAAUUUCCAAAACAUAAACUUUGGUA